rnacentral:rRNA from 1 species
GACGAACGCUGGCGGCGGGCUUAAUACAUGCAAGUCGAACGGCACGAGUCCUGUAGCUUUCCAUUGGGUAAGGAUAGUGACGGACGGGUGGGUAACGCGUGGGACAUCUGCUCCUAAGUCGGGGAUAACAGGGCGAACGUUCUUCUAAGACCGGAUACUCUUAAAUAGCCACCAGGUUGGUAUAGGAAAGGGAGCGCUUAGGGAUGAGCCUGCGUCCCAUUAGCUAGUUGGUGAGGUAACGGCCCACCAAGGCAACGGUUGAUAGGCCGCAUGGGAGGGGGGGCGGGCACACUGGGACUGCGACACGCCGCAGAAUCCAACGGGAGGCAACGGAAGCGAAUCUGAGGCAAUCAGGGAGAGCCUGACCGGACAACGCCGCGUGAGGGAAGAAGGUCUUAGGAUCGUAGAACUCUGUCAACGAGGACGAUAAUGACGGUACUCGAGGAGGAAGCCCCGGCUAACUACGUG